GCGUGCCUAACACAUGCAAGUCGAACGGAGUUAUUAUUAUGAAGUCUUCGGAUGGAUUAAUAAUAACUUAGUGGCGGACGGGUGAGUAACGCGUGGGUAACCUGCCUCAUACAGGGGGAUAACAGCCGGAAACGGUUGCUAAAACCGCAUAAGCACACAGCAUCGCAUGAUGCAGUGUGAAAAUAUUUAUAGGUAUGAGAUGGGCCCGCGUCUGAUUAGCUAGUUGGUGGGGUAAAGGCCUACCAAGGCGACGAUCAGUAGCCGGCUUGAGAGAGUGACCGGCCACAUUGGGACUGAGACACGGCCCAAACUCCUACGGGAGGCAGCAGUGGGGAAUAUUGCACAAUGGGGGAAACCCUGAUGCAGCGACGCCGCGUGA
rnacentral:rRNA from 1 species